AGCGAACGCUGGCGGCAGGCCUAACACAUGCAAGUCGAGCGGCCGUAGCAAUACGGCAGCGGCGGACGGGAGAGUAACACGUGGGAACGCGCCCUUUGGUUCGGAAUAACUCAGGGAAACUUGAGCUAAUACCGGAUAAGCCCUUACGGGGAAAGAUUUAUCGCCAAAGGAACGGCCCGCGUCCGAUUAGCUAGUUGGUGAGGUAACGGCUCACCAAGGCGACGAUCGGUAGCUGGUCUGAGAGGAUGACCAGCCUCACUGGGACUGAGACACGGCCCAGACUCCUACGGGAGGCAGCAGUGGGGAAUAUUGGACAAUGGGCGCAAGCCUGAUCCAGCCAUGCCGCGUGAGUGAUGAAGGCCUUAGGGUUGUAAAGCUCUUUUAGCAGGGAAGAUAAUGACGGUACCUGCAGAAAAAGCCCCGGCUAUCUUCGUGCCAGCAGCCGCAGUAA
rnacentral:rRNA from 1 species